rnacentral:rRNA from 1 species
GACAGAGGGGGCAAGCGUUGCUCGGAAUCACUGGGCGUAAAGGGCGCGUAGGCGGGAUGGCAAGUCAGUCGUGAAAUCUCUCGGCUCAACCGAGAAACGUCGGCUGAUACUGCCGUGCUUGAGGGAUGCAGAGGAGACUGGAAUUCCCGGUGUAGCGGUGAAAUGUGUAGAGAUCGGGAGGAACACCGGUGGCGAAGGCGGGUCUCUGGGCAUGUUCUGACGCUGAGGAGCGAAAGUGUGGGGAGCGAACAGG